UACGUAGGGACCAAGCGUUGUUCGGAUUUACUGGGCGUAAAGGGCGCGUAGGCGGCAAUUUCAAGUCAUCUGUGAAAUCUCCGGGCUUAACCCGGAACGGUCAGGUGAUACUGUUUUGCUAGAGUCCGGAAGAGGCGAGUGGAAUUCCUGGUGUAGCGGUGAAAUGCGCAGAUAUCAGGAGGAACACCAAUGGCGAAGGCAGCUCGCUGGGACGGUACUGACACUGAGACGCGAAAGCGUGGGGAGCAAACAGG
rnacentral:rRNA from 1 species